AUACGUAGGUCUCGAGCGUUGUCCGGAUUUAUUGGGCGUAAAGCGAGCGCAGGCGGUUAUUUAAGUCUGAAGUUAAAGGCCGUGGCUCAACCAUGGUUCGCUUUGGAAACUGGAUAACUUGAGUGCAGAAGGGGAGAGUGGAAUUCCAUGUGUAGCGGUGAAAUGCGUAGAUAUAUGGAGGAACACCGGUGGCGAAAGCGGCUCUCUGGUCUGUAACUGACGCUGAGGCUCGAAAGCGUGGGGAGCAAACAGGAUUAGAUACCCUGGUAGUCCACGCCGUAAACGAUGGAUACUAGGUGUGGGAGGUAUUGACCCCUUCCGUGCCGCAGUUAACACAUUAAGCAUCCCACCUGGGGAGUACGACCGCAAGGUUGAAACUCAAAGGAAUUGACGGGGGCCCGCACAAGCAGUGGAGUAUGUGGUUUAAUUCGAAGCAACGCGAAGAACCUUACCUGGUCUUGACAUCCCGAUGACCGGUCUAGAGAUAGACUUUUCUCUUCGGAGACAUCGGUGACAGGUGGUGCAUGGUUGUCGUCAGCUCGUGUCGUGAGAUGUUGGGUUAAGUCCCGCAACGAGCGCAACCCUUAUUGUUAGUUGAUACAUUUAGUUGAUCACUCUAGCGAGACUGCCGUUGACAAAACGGAGGAAGGUGGGGACGACGUCAAAUCAUCAUGCCCCUUAUGAUUUGGGCUACACACGUGCUACAAUGGCGUAAACAAAGGGAAGCGAACCUGUGAGGGGGAGCAAAUCCCAAAAAUAACGUCCCAGUUCGGACUGUAGUCUGCAACCCGACUACACGAAGCUGGAAUC
rnacentral:rRNA from 1 species